rnacentral:rRNA from 1 species
UUCUGGUUGAUCCUGCCGGACCUGACUGCUAUCGGAUUGAUACUAAGCCAUGCGAGUCGUUGUAGUAAUACAAGGCAUACGGCUCAGUAACGCGUAGUCAACCUAACCUAUGGACGGGAAUAACCUCGGGAAACUGAGUAUAAUGCCCGAUAGAACAUUAUGCCUGGAAUGGUUUAUGUUCCAAAUGAUUUAUCGCCGUAGGAUGGGACUGCGGCCUAUCAGUUUGUUGGUGAGGUAAUGGCCCACCAAGACUAUUACAGGUACGGGCUCUGAGAGGAGUAGCCCGGAGAUGGGUACUGAGACACGGACCCAGGCCCUAUGGGGCGCAGCAGGCGAGAAAACUUUGCAAUGUGCGAAAGCACGACAAGGUUAAUCCGAGUGGUUUCUGCUAAAGGAACCUUUUGUUAGUCCUAGAAACACUAACGAAUAAGGGGUGGGCAAGUUCUGGUGUCAGCCGCCGCGGUAAAACCAGCACCUCAAGUGGUCAGGAUGAUUAUUGGGCCUAAAGCAUCCGUAGCCGGAUCUGUAAGUUUUCGGUUAAAUCUGUACGCUCAACGUACAGGCUGCCGGGAAUACUGCAGAUCUAGGGAGUGGGAGAGGUAGACGGUACUCGGGAGGAAGGGGUAAAAUCCUUUGAUCUCUCGAUGACCACCUGUGGCGAAGGCGGUCUACCAGAACACGUCCGGCGGUGAGGGAUGAAAGCUGGGGGAGCAAACCGGAUUAGAUACCCGGGUAGUCCCAGCUGUAAACUAUGCAAACUCAGUGAUGCAUUGACUUGUGGUCAAUGCAGUGCUGCAGGGAAGCCGUUAAGUUUGCCGCCUGGGAAGUACGUACGCAAGUAUGAAGCUUAAAGGAAUUGGCGGGGGAGCACCACAAGGGGUGAAGCCUGCGGUUCAAUUGGAUUCAACGCCGGA